rfam:Oryza sativa Japonica Group DNA, chromosome 4, cultivar: Nipponbare, complete sequence.
AAUAAGUAUAGUUUUACACUAUUUACGUUCAAUGUUUGACUGUUUAUUUUAUUUAAAAAAAUUUAUGAUUAGUAUUUAUUAUUAUUAUUAUUAUAUGAUAAAACAUGAAUAAUACUUUAUGUGUGAUUAAAUAUUUUCAAUUUUUUCAUAAUUUUUUUAAAUAAGACGGUCAGUCAAAUGUUGGGUACGGAUAUCCACGGCUACAUUUAUU